rnacentral:rRNA from 1 species
GAUGAACGCUGGCGGCGUGCCUAAUACAUGCAAGUCGAGCGAACAGACGAGGAGCUUGCUCCUUCGACGUUAGCGGCGGACGGGUGAGUAACACGUAGGUAACCUACCUAUAAGACUGGGAUAACUUCGGGAAACCGGAGCUAAUACCGGAUAAUAUUUCGAACCGCAUGGUUCGAUAGUGAAAGAUGGCUUUGCUAUCACUUAUAGAUGGACCUGCGCCGUAUUAGCUAGUUGGUAAGGUAACGGCUUACCAAGGCAACGAUACGUAGCCGACCUGAGAGGGUGAUCGGCCACACUGGAACUGAGACACGGUCCAGACUACUACGGGAGGCAGCAGUAGGGAAUAUUCCGCAAUGGGCGAAAGCAUGACGGAGCAACGCCGCGUGAGUGAUGAAGGUCUUCGGAUCGUAAAACUCUGUUAUUAGGGAAGAACAAACGUGUAAGUAACUGUGCACGUAUUGACGGUACCUAAUCAGAAAGCCACGGCUAACUACGUG